AUUCAAUGAUAAAUUGUCUUCGUGUUGGUCAUAACCACGUGAAAGAGAUAAAGAAAACAUCAACGUUUCGAGCGAAGACUUCUUGUCUGGACGUUAAUGGCCAUGUAGAGAAGACGCUUGUAGGGGCUUCAAAGCGUUGAAGUUUUUUUCAGAUGUUUUUCAGGACGUCAUGACUAAAACAAACUAGUUUAUCUGGUACAUAGUUAGCAACAUUCCAUACCUUUUAGGACCCUUUAGCAAUCCGAUCAUAAAAACUGAAUCAACACGAUUAUUCCCAUUAAUUUCACCGUUAUAAAACGCUGAAAAUGACUAAGGUAGCU